rnacentral:rRNA from 1 species
GAUGAACGCUGGCGGCGUGCCUAAUACAUGCAAGUCGAGCGAACAGACGAGGAGCUUGCUCCUCUGACGUUAGCGGCGGACGGGUGAGUAACACGUGGAUAACCUACCUAUAAGACUGGGAUAACUUCGGGAAACCGGAGCUAAUACCGGAUAACAUGUUGAACCGCAUGGUUCAACAGUGAAAGACGGUCUUGCUGUCACUUAUAGAUGGAUCCGCGCCGCAUUAGCUAGUUAGUAAGGUAACGGCUUACCAAGGCAACGAUGCGUAGCCGACCUGAGAGGGUGAUCGGCCACACUGGAACUGAGACACGGUCCAGACUCCUACGGGAGGCAGCAGUAGGGAAUCUUCCGCAAUGGGCGAAAGCCUGACGGAGCAACGCCGCGUGAGUGAAGAAGGUCUUCGGAUCGUAAAACUCUGUUAUUAGGGAAGAACAAAUGUGUAAGUAACUAUGCACGUCUUGACGGUACCUAAUCAGAAAGCCACGGCUAACUACGUG